rnacentral:rRNA from 1 species
AUUGAACGCUGGCGGCAGGCCUAACACAUGCAAGUCGAGCGGAUGAAGGGAGCUUGCUCCUGGAUUCAGCGGCGGACGGGUGAGUAAUGCCUAGGAAUCUGCCUGGUAGUGGGGGAUAACGUCCGGAAACGGGCGCUAAUACCGCAUACGUCCUGAGGGAGAAAGUGGGGGAUCUUCGGACCUCACGCUAUCAGAUGAGCCUAGGUCGGAUUAGCUAGUUGGUGGGGUAAAGGCCUACCAAGGCGACGAUCCGUAACUGGUCUGAGAGGAUGAUCAGUCACACUGGAACUGAGACACGGUCCAGACUCCUACGGGAGGCAGCAGUGGGGAAUGUUGGACAGUGGGCGAAAGCCUGAUCCAGCCAUGCCGCGUGUGUGAAGAAGGUCUUCGGAUUGUAAAGCACUUUAAGUUGGGAGGAAGGGCAGUAAGUUAAUACCUUGCUGUUUUGACGUUACCAACAGAAUAAGCACCGGCUAACUUCGUG